CUGGGAUUUUCAAUCUUUUAGAUGCUUUGGAUCCCUCAAAUAUCAUUGUCUUCAUGCGAAGAACCCCCAUCUUAAAUUGUUCAGCUUCAGAUGCUAAAAGUGGUAGCAUGGCAGGCAGGCCGUGGAGCCCGAGCUGCCCGGUGUUAAUGAUGAUUAAUGAAGAGAGGAGAAAGGCUUCACCUCCUCCUGAACCUGCGAUGAUGCCCCUGAGGUGUGAGGCUAACUGAGCUCCCUCCUUUAAAUGUGUGACAAAUCGUCCUGUCAACACCAGGAAAUCCAAAUUCUGCAGUGGUGUAUGCGUGAAAUGAGACGGCCCAGACACAAACAAAUACGAUCUGUCAAGGGCUCUUGGAUAGCAGCAAUAGGCACAGGUGGAUGGCUCCCCGAGAUAAGCCGCAAAGCCUUUCUUUCCCCCAAUGAAAUAUGUAUGGAGCUCUAUGAAGGUGCAUCUCGGCAAACCUCUCUUUAUAAGAGAAUCCCUCUCCCUCCUUCUCUCCGGUCCAGCUCUGGAGAGUCAGGAGAUGUGCUGCACUCUUGCCAUGUGCCUGCUUUAUGAUUAGCGAGCCUCACUUCCUGCGCCGUUGUUUAACAUCUCUCUCCGGGUGGCCCUCGGCCGGCGUUCCUAUUGAUGAACAUCUACGCCUAAUAUGUUGCUCCAUUGAUUCUUCGUUAUUUCAAUUCCCAUAACGGUUUAAAUGCACGGUGGCUGUAGCCAAGGCAAUUAACUUACAGUUCUAUUAAAACAAAGUCAU